rnacentral:rRNA from 1 species
GCCAGACUCCUACGGGAGGCAGCAGUGAGGAAUAUUGGUCAAUGGCCGGGAGGCUGAACCAGCCAAGUCGCGUGAGGGAAGACGGCCCUACGGGUUGUAAACCUCUUUUGUCAGGGAGCAAGGUGCAGGUCGGGACCUGCUGUGAGAGUACCUGAAGAAAAAGCAUCGGCUAACUCCGUGCCAGCAGCCGCGGUAAUACGGAGGAUGCGAGCGUUAUCCGGAUUUAUUGGGUUUAAAGGGUGCGUAGGCGGGAUGCCAAGUCAGCGGUAAAAAUGCGGGGCUCAACGCCGUCGAGCCGUUGAAACUGGCGUUCUUGAGUGGGCGAGAAGUAUGCGGAAUGCGUGGUGUAGCGGUGAAAUGCAUAGAUAUCGCGCAGAACUCCGAUUGCGAAGGCAGCAUGCCGGCUCCACACUGACGCUGAGGCACGAAAGCGUGGGUAUCGAACAGGAUUAGAUACCCUCGUAC